AACGAACGCUGGCGGCAUGCCUAACACAUGCAAGUCGAACGAGACCUUCGGGUCUAGUGGCGCACGGGUGCGUAACGCGUGGGAACCUGCCCUUAGGUUCGGAAUAACUCCCCGAAAGGGGUGCUAAUACCGGAUAAUGUCUUCGGACCAAAGAUUUAUCGCCUUUGGAUGGGCCCGCGUUGGAUUGGCUAGUUGGUAGGGUAAGAGCGUACGAAGGCGACGAUCCAGGGCUGGUCUGAGAGGAUGAUCAGCCACACUGGGACUGAGACACGGCCCAGACUCCUACGGGAGGCAGCAGUGGGGAAUAUUGGACAAUGGGCGAAAGCCUGAUCCAGCAAUGCCGCGUGAGUGAUGAAGGCCUUAGGGUUGUAAAGCUCUUUUACCCGGGAUGAUAAUGACAGUACCGGGAGAAUAAGCUCCGGCUAACUCCGUG
rnacentral:rRNA from 1 species